rnacentral:rRNA from 1 species
UGAGGAAUAUUGGACAAUGGGUGAGAGCCUGAUCCAGCCAUCCCGCGUGAAGGAUGACGGUCCUAUGGAUUGUAAACUUCUUUUGUACAGGGAUAAACCUACUCUCGUGAGGGUAGCUGAAGGUACUGUACGAAUAAGCACCGGCUAACUCCGUGCCAGCAGCCGCGGUAAUACGGAGGGUGCAAGCGUUAUCCGGAUUUAUUGGGUUUAAAGGGUCCGUAGGCGGAGUUGUAAGUCAGUGGUGAAAUCUCAUAGCUUAACUAUGAAACUGCCAUUGAUACUGCAGGUCUUGAGUAAAUUUGAAGUGGCUGGAAUAAGUAGUGUAGCGGUGAAAUGCAUAGAUAUUACUUAGAACACCAAUUGCGAAGGCAGGUCACUAAGAUUUAACUGACGCUGAUGGACGAAAGCGUGGGGAGCGAACA